rnacentral:lncRNA from 1 species
CAGCAGCUGGUGCCCAGCGUGCAAAUGUAUCACUACCAGCACCAGAGGUUAACAGAUACUACAGCUGGAGCUGCAGAAAGAGCCUCCUGAGGAGCUGGACUCUGCAGAUGAGAAUGAAAGCAGUGACUUUAUGGUGUACAGGUGUCCAGGCGUGGCCCCGAACAGGGAGAUGGUGGUGUGCAACCCUCUUUUUGGCCACUUCUCGCUGUCAGUGCCUCUGCUGGGCCCACGCCCACUGCCC